rnacentral:lncRNA from 1 species
GGCAAUUUUUUUUGAAUACCACGUCGGUGGCAAACAAGCAUACGAUCGGCCUGAUGGAAAGUGGUCACCGUAACCUAUGGACGCCUGCAACUCAAGGGGUGUCACAUGCGCGUUACCGACCUAUUAUCUUUUCAUACAAACGUAGUCCCCAUUUUUCUCUCUGUAUUGAUAUUAUCGAUCCCAUCAAAAACAUUUUCAUGUUAAAUAUUGCCAAGACGAAACCAUCUCGAAUCAAAAAGUUAUCAGAUCUUAUGGAGCGCCGCUUCCAACUCUAUCUUCAUAAACCGGCCAAGUGCGAGUUAAAUUCACGUUUCAAGGGUUCCGUACAAUAAAAUAAAAUAUAUUUCUUUCGUUCAGUCAUUACUGCUAACACCCACAAAUGGUCUUAAAUGCCUUACACUUCUGAAAGCGCUUAAGACCAUUGUGCAAAUUAUCGAUAUUUUGAACAAUUUAAAAAAAACGAUACUUUUUAUAUGUAAAAGUUAAUUUAUAAAUGUAAUUUUCAAACGCGCUUACCUACACAAUUUCAAGAGAUUUGGUAACACCUUGCAGUGGCAGUUAGUGAAAUUCGUAACGUAUUAAGUCCGAUUUACGCUUGACUGUAGAGUUCUAAUAAUUUUCCUGUCAUCUAUAGGUUAAGGGCUAUCUCGUCUCAUUUGAUAUAAUGUACUUAACACAACAUAACCCAAAAAACUUUUAAUUUUUCAUUUUCACUUUUCUUCCCAAACUUCACCCCAAAAGUGACCCCUAGGAUACAAGUGCGUAAAAAAGGAAGUUCGAAACGAGUGGCGAUAAAUUAAAACACGACCGAAGGGAGUGUUUUAAAUAGACACGAGUUAGGCCAAGCCACAUAUUUUGACUAAGGUGUAAGCAUUUCGUUAAGAGAUUGGUUCUAUAGUAAAAGGGGUUGGUUCCUUGGUAAGGCUAAGAUGGGACAAGCUGGAAUGAAGAAUCUAAAAAAAUGAGUACGGCCUGGUAAAUAGGAGUAGAAAUGGAACUAUAGUUAUUUGUGCAACAGGAGAGCAAAGUUGAUAUUUGCAUAGAGUGACAAAUUUAAGUCCCGAAGAAGUGAAAGAAUCUAUAAUAGAAUCGCGGGCGCAGCGAGUGGUUCUAAUUUAGAAUCUUGAGCGUAGUGAGGGACUCAAAAGUCACGAAAUGUAAAUAACUUUCGUGUCGCACAUACAACUUUUCGCUUCAGCAGGGCAAACAAGAAAAAAUGUACCUAAUGCGUAUACGGAAAGUAAAGCAAUUUAUUACGAACAAAUUGGAUCCGGGUUCCAAGGUAUGUGUCUCUGUAUAGUUAUUUUCAGUGAGUAAAUAGCUAUUUUGCUCACUGGUUUCUCGCAGCAAAGUACGCCCUUAACAGCUGCUCAUGUAUUUUUUUUAAACAUAGCAACACUUACUUUUCUCAACAAAAGUGACUCAAUAGUCGCCACAUGCAAAAAGGUUUACAUAGACGGUGGCACCCUUAUUAUUUUCUAUUCUUUUUUAUCAGGCUCUAAUAAGUAUCUAAAGUUCUAAACCAUCAUUUCUUAGUGUGAAAAAUAAUAUACAUACAUUAAAGAUUUCUACAUAUAAACCAGAGCUGUCACUAUGCCCCAAUGUUUAACAUUUUCCUAUGUUUUGAUUAUUGUACAAAAUAGAAGCGAAAUUUUGGUGGAAAGGUUCUCGUUCAAUUAUUUUCAUACUAACUGUUAUAAUAAUAAUUCGGAAAUAACAUUAUCAUUAUAUAAAAGAUCAACGUAGGGACAAAUGUAAUAUCAAAAUAUUUUCAAUAACGUAUAUUACGAAUGAAGGGAGGAAAAUGAGGACGUUUGUACCAAAAAGCAAUUUCGUCAGGGUCGUUCUCUUUCGUCAUAAGGGUUCAGUUUUUCUUCAGAGUGUAGAGCCGGCGUAGCCGAAUGGCAAUCGUCGACGCCAGACGCCGACAAGAAAUGCAGUCUGGCUCUGUCACGCCAAUACGCAAGAGCGAUAGAAAUAGAUAGCUACGAAACAGAUAUUAUCGUGAGCGUUUGUGCAUUUGGCAACGUAGCCUGAACCCAAAAAGUAAGCGUGAAGGGUUGUACUUCACUUGUGCUCCUAAAAAUUGAAUUGCACGUUUUUUUUAUUACGAGUGGAUCUCCCAGAGUGUGUAAAGUUUCUUUUUAUCUUUCCUACUGGAGAAACUAACAGUUAAAUUUCAUUUAUAACCGCCGAAACAAGUUUGUCACUCAAAAGGCGCGAAUUUAAAAUGUUCUAUGGAUGAUAAACAACCGUACAAUCUUAUUAUUAUAGGUUAAUAAUAAGAUUGUACGGAACCUUUGGUGGGCAAGUCCAACUCGGACUUCGAUUUUUUGUUGCGAGCGGCUUACAGCGAAGAUAGUCGACAAUCAUGAACAAAUUUUCAAAAAAACACGAGUAAUCAAACAAUUUGUUUAAUUUUAUUGCAAUUAUCUAGUAUAAAUAAGGGGAUUUACACACGAACACUUGUCAUGACACUUUCAGAAGGAAAUUUACAAUAAAUCGUUCUACAAACCUAUCAAUUACAUAUCACAAUAACCUAGAGGGAUCCAGCUAUACUUUGGAUUGGAACGAUUUAAGAUAGCUGCGCCCUUAAUCCCCGUCGCUCACCAAAGCCGAUGCUAUGUUGUUUCGUUUGUAGGCCGCGUAACACACCUGCCAAACACCGCAAUCUUAGUGUCAUCAAAACCUAUGGUUCAGUUCAGACUUAGAGCCUCGAGUUCGGAAUCCUGCCACUUUUAUAUGGUGAAAUUUUUACAACCCGCCAUAUUUCGCGAUGAGACAUUUUGAAUAUCUAUUGAUAUGGUAUCAAUCCCAAAAUCGCGAAAUCCAUAAUCGCAUAAUCCAUUCCAUAAAACUCAGCGGCACCCAGGGUUCGACACGGUGUUGAAAAUUUAAAUAUUGCUAGGCAUCAGCAGGAAUGUAUGAAACAGCCAUAUUUUUUCACGAUAUUGGCAUUGUACCGAUAAUAAAAGCACUUCAGCGGUAAGAGAAUGCGACUUUCCAUCUGGAGCCGCGGCACAAAACCGGGUUAACGUAGGAAGAUGAUGAGGAAAAUUGAUGUCCGUUGGAUUAUUGAAGUAUUCUGUACAGUCGAAUACAGUUACAUCUACACGAACAAAAAUAUCUGAACACGUUUUUAUGCUCGUGUCAGAUCAUACGAGUAGCAAAAUUCUCUCCAGACUCCAAUAAGGAUCACUCGGUAGAAAAAGUAGACAUUAAAUUCGUUAAUAGCAAUAACCAUCUCUAUUCAAUUUUAAAUUUAAGACCUCAAGGUCGUUUUGGUCGUGUUGUAAUACAUAGAUCACUCUCUAAAGAGUCGCGGAAGUGUUUAGACCCUUGAAUUGCUAUAUCCCGUUUCUGAAAAUGAAUUUAUGUUAUAGUUACAUAAUAUCAUAAUUAAUUAUCCCUCUCCUAACCCUCAGCUUGUCUCAUGUAACAUACGUUUUGAAACUUUUGAAGUACGCAUAAAAAUCAUGAACAAGUUUGACGGUUUUAAUUAUAUUGGAUGAACAAUUGAAUAUCCACGCGCUGCUCCGUCAUGCAAUCAGGACACAACUAACUAGUAACUAUAUCGGUGUCUUGCUCGUACAGUCAGCUGCAGAGAAAAGUGGACGCCCCUGCAUACAAAUUUGUAUGCAAGGGGGUCUACUUUUCUCUGCAGCUGACUGUACACCGCCCGGAUUAGUGACCAAACACAUAUACAAACAAGUAUGUACAGUAUAAACACACGCGUACCACGGGUUAACUUUCAACUAUGUACAGUUUGUUUAUAGUGACUCGUUAAAGUGUUUCGAACUUUCGAAGCCUCUCAUCACGUUCCUUCUUCAAGUGUACAUAGGAUCUAUCCUAAGUAGAGUUUAUUAUUUACAUGGAGCUCCAAGCAGUUGCUUGGCAGAACAAAUCGGCUGAUAUCACACGACAGCUUCAGAUAUCCUAAAGGGGACGACUGACUAACACUUCGUCGGACAAUAACGAAUUGUCAUUUAUGCGGUGCUGAUACUUUUUGCUUUUUACUGACAGGCCAAUAUCAUCCGGUGAACUAAAUACAAAAUCGUUUAUAGUAUACGUACUUGGUAGACUACAUCGGUAGUUUAUUCCAAAGGUGUAACGAAUUGUGAAUCAGACGGUGGUUACCUUAUAGACCUUAUAGUCCAAUCAAAUAUAAUUUAAUCGACCCCGAUAAUAAAUAAUGUACAAAUAUACAUAUUUCUUAGUACCUAUAUGACGAUGAACAGCAAAAAUAAUAUUGAAAAUUACAUAUUUUAAUCAUACAUGGUAUUAAACCAUGACGUCAGGUUAAUGACGCUUUAAGCAAUGUGACCAUUAAAAAAUAACGCAAACAAUACUCUAACAAAUGAACAUGUAUAACUUAUAUACGUAACAGAAUCUUUAACAUUUUUAGACCGACCUUCGUCAAUUAUAAUCAUAACAAAUGAUAGUUUAAUAUAAUUAACAUAAUGCUAAUAUUGAAUGGGCUACUGAACGGCUAUCCAACUACAGAUAUCAUCUCUCACAAACGAUCAUCACUCCGUACAGUUAGCGAAACGGUUCAGUUUGAAUCCCUCCAUAGCGACUAAGCAAUACAUGCCAAUUAAAUUCGCGCGCUGUACGCACACAGAGACAGUGUGUUAUGUAAGGCUGAUAGUCCACUAUCAUAUGUUUGUCAUAGAAAUAUGACCAUAGGCAACAUGCCGUCCUCUUUCUUCACAUUGGAGAAAAUGGG